rnacentral:rRNA from 1 species
UACAGAGGUCUCAAGCGUUGUUCGGAUUCAUUGGGCGUAAAGGGUGCGUAGGCGGCGCGGUAAGUCGGGUGUGAAAUUUCGAGGCUUAACUUCGAAACUGCAUUCGAUACUGCCGUGCUAGAGGACUGGAGAGGAGACUGGAAUUUACGGUGUAGCGGUGAAAUGCGUAGAUAUCGUAAGGAAGACCAGUGGCGAAGGCGGGUCUCUGGGCCGAUACUGACGCUGAUGCGCGAAAGCUAGGGGAGCGAACGGG